GCGUUAUGAUAUAGGAUCACACGACCAAGUAUGUCAGUGACGCUCAAGACAACAUCAGGAGCGGUCGAUUUCUGUUUUCGUUAGGAAAACACUGCGUCACGUAAAAUUGAAAAGUGUUACAGUUACAUUUCUGUGUUUAAGUCUUUAUGGUAUUUGUUCAUUUAUAAAUGACUAAAUUAUUAUUUGUUGUAUAUGAAUUUUUUUUGUUGAUUUUCAAAACGGAUUAAGUAUAGAUCACGUAAAUUGCUGCCAAAAAAAAAAAACGAUUAUCGGCACGUAAAAAGAAAAGUGAAAAGAGUGAAAUUUCAACAUCAUCCCCAUACAAAAGUAAUGUUGAAGAAAAAGAAAAUUUACAAAAUGAGAAACGCAGCUUUGUCUUUAUUUGAAAAGAUAACGUAUCAAAGAUUCUAAUCUAAUGAAAAACUCAUUAUAAUACAAUAUCUUCUGCAAAUAUUUUACAAAAUAUGGAAAGAUCAAGAUUUAAGUUGGCAGUGAAACCAAAAGCAGAUGAAAAAUCAGAUAUUAUAUGCAUAAUUUCAAUAACUACACCUAAUGGAUAGAAUUUUGAAAUAUCAGUUAACUACCAACCGUCAAAUUUACACAAAGAGAUUUUAAAUACAUCAAACUAUGUCAAGGUGAAAAAACAUCAAACAAGGUAAAUAUGGAUAACCUUCUCAGAGAGAACAUAUCACAAGUGUAAAUACAUAAAUAGAUGAAGAACAAAGCUUACAGUUUAACGAUGUUUAUCUAAAAGAUAUUGUAAAUAUAACAAGUAACAUUGAAUUUAAAUCUAACGACUCAGUUUAAAUCAAACGUUAGAAAAACUAUUACAGAAUUUGUUUGGGGAUUGACAAAGAAAAUUUGAAAUUUGAAAUUUAAUAGAAAUUACAAAGGAUUUCAUGAUCGAGUAAAAUUCACUGGCAAAAACCCAAAUGUUUAAC